CGGGGUAUAGCUCAGUGGUGAAGUGCAUGCUUAGCAUGCACGAGGUCUUGGGUUCAAUCCCCAGUGCCGCUA
rnacentral:tRNA from 1 species